GCAAGUUGGAUACAAAAUUUGAUGCAGCAAAUGCUGCUGAUCCACCAACCACACAGACCAAAGCUACAAUGAUCUGCAAGGCCACUUCCCAUGGAUACUGCUCAGGCACAACAAAUACACAAACAGGACCCAGGACAAGCAGUGCCAGGCUUAUGCUCAGGAGUGUUCCAGGGGUUGCAGGGUCUGUUGCCGCAGAAAGAACUCCGAGUUCCUCUGCCUUUGAGAGGAGGCCCAACCUCUCCACCGUCGAGAGUGAGAGACCAAAGUUCUCAGCUGCGGUGAGUAAUCCUGCUUUCUCUGCCUUAGUC
rnacentral:lncRNA from 1 species